AUUUAACUCAGUGAGGCGAUCUCCCGGUUUCAGUCCACUCUGUGGUCGCGGUCAGCGGAGUGGCAUAGUAAGCUUAGCCCCAGCUCGGCAGCCUGAUGUGGGUACAAGUGGCUGUUUAGGCGAAGAGAGAAGGCUGUGCCCGGCAACCGGACAGCAAUGGUUGGAAGAAUAACGCGUCCCCCAAGAUGUACAUGUCCUUACCCUGAGGACCCAUGAACACGUCACCUGCUGUGGAAAGAGGAAUUUGGCAAUGUGCUCGAGGCUCUCGAGGUGGAAAGGUGACUCUGGAUUAUUCAGCUGUAACUGGACUCCCCGAGCCCCUGGCAAUAGAAAUAUCAACGUGGGGUCUCCUGAGAAUGGCAGAUUGUGCAUCACUGGAGUGAAAAGACAUUGUGCAGUCCAGCCCUGCACUUGGCAGGUGAAGAACCUGGCUGGAGCGAGGAAG